GUUCUAGAGGUCUGGACACGAAUGAAUUUGGCCGGGGGGUUAUCUUGUGUUAGCUUAAUUAAUAUUGGCGGAGAUUUGACGCUAUCGUUCAACUCCGCCAAUAUUCAACAUGUGGUAAUUUUUUUUCAACAUAUUUUGAACGUUGAAGUUGUGAUGGGUGCUAAAUGCGCGGCAUGUUCAAUGUCCGGUUUAACUUCAAUGUCAAAAACACAUAGGUGUUCAAUGUCAUAUUUAACUUCAAUGUCGAAAAUAUGUUGAAUGUUUUGCAUGUUCAAUGCCAGAUUUAUCUUCAAUGUCGAAAGCAUGUAGGUGCUGAAUGUCCUAUUUAACUUCAAUGUCGAAAAUAUGUAGAAUGUUCUGCAUGUUCAAUGUCAGAUUUAUCUUCAAUGUCGAAAGCACGUAGGUGCUGAAUGUCCUAUUUAACUUCAAUGUCGAAAAUAUGUAGAAUGUUCUGCAUGUUCAAUGUCAGAUUUAUCUUCAAUGUCGAAAGCACGUAGGUGCUGAAUGUCCUAUUUAACUUCAAUGUCGAAAGCAUGAUAUACAUGAAUAUUGGCGGUGAUAUGACGCCAUACAAAAACUCGAGAUUUAUUUGAAUCCAUCCUAAACAACAAACAUGUUUAAAGGUAGAAACUAAAUGACAAGAAUAAAGAGAUAGUUUUCUGUGUUUUUACCGAAAUUUGAACAUUUGGAAAUCAGGACGAGUCGGACGUAGAUGAAUGUACGUAGCAUACUAUAAAUAUUAUGAUACUUUAAUUGCAAUGUGUAAUGAAAAUUAUAAUUUUAGUUGUGUAUAUAGACGCCUCGCAAUUUUAGUUUGAGUCAAGACUGCACAUGAACUUGAGCUCCCGAAUGUGUAUAUUAUUUCAGAGUUUGCAU